UACGUAGGGGGCAAGCGUUGUCCGGAAUUAUUGGGCGUAAAGCGCGCGCAGGCGGUCCUUUAAGUCUGAUGUGAAAGCCCACGGCUCAACCGUGGAGGGUCAUUGGAAACUGGGGGACUUGAGUGCAGAAGAGGAAAGUGGAAUUCCACGUGUAGCGGUGAAAUGCGUAGAGAUGUGGAGGAACACCAGUGGCGAAGGCGACUUUCUGGUCUGUAACUGACGCUGAGGCGCGAAAGCGUGGGGAGCAAACAGG
rnacentral:rRNA from 1 species